ACUUAUAAGACUUUAAGUUAAAGGUUGUUGACUGCUACUGGUCUGGUUGUUUUCUGUGUUGGCAGAUUUUCCAAUACCUUUCUGCUUCCUGCAAGUGGGAACAGCGGCAGUGUUCCAAUUACAUCUCAGUCCCAAGCGCCUCAAGGACACUGCUCUUCUGCAAAGUGUUGCAGGCAUCCUCACUCCUUGGAAAAGCUUAUUUCUUCAGAUGGGAGUUCAGAAGCGUUGGGCCAGAGCAAAAUGAGCAUUUUGUCAUGAGUGUGCUGCUGUUAAGACGGGAACAGCUCAUCCUGUGUGCCCGUGUAUAAUGGAAGUGUCUGCUUCUGGUAACGGCUGUUUGUCCAUGAUGACUCGGCUAUUUUCUCGAGUUUGUAAUGCUGUGAAAGAACUGCACUGGAAAACAAACAGAAGAAAAUGUGCUAUCAUGCCUUAGCAAGAGGAGAGCCUGAGUUUGGACACUCCAUGUUUCUUCUUGAUGUUCUGAGAUGCUAAUGUGGGCCUCACAUACCAUGGAAGCCUUUCUGGUGGAGGACUGUAAAUCUUUAAAGGGAGAUAACGAUAGAAUUGCUGAUGCGACCUGAUUAUAUCAGUGUGAAUGGGACUGCCAAAAUACAAUUAAAGAAACAGCUUAUAUUCUCUGUCUUGUAGGCAGGAUACAAUUGUUCAUGUCAUUACCACACUUGUUAUUUUCCUGGUGACAAUUGAUUUAACGUACUGUUUGGAAAAUGUAUGUGCUUAUUCUCUCAGUGCUGAUUUAUGAUGUGAUAAGAAAGUGCCAAACUUCUUAGCAAUAAAAGAGGUUCUGUGCAGUGUGGUAUGCAGUCAGCAUCUCAUCCUCCAGUCCCUGAAGACUAAUGGAUAGACUGAAGGAAUUACUGCUGACUGCCGUUCGGUGCAGAGGCAUUUAAUACAGGUGAUGUGUGGCACAAGGCUGCCUGGUUCUGCUAUUGUGCCCAGAGAACUGGGAGGCAGAAUGCUAGCUGCAGUUCUGUGCUAUGGCAUAAAAGGCUCCAACUUUGCACAACCCGUGGCUGCGUGCGCUGGUGUUGCUGGGAGAGGUGGUGGCUGUAUAUGUGGGGGCUCUGUGAGGGCUGUGCCUAGCUCCUCCAGCCCUGCCUCAUGCCUGCUCAGUAGGCUUUGCAAUCUGUGCCGUAAUAACUCUUCUUUACUCACUGCAUUCAUUUUGUCCAAGGUUUGUCUGGUUUUGGAAUAGAAACUGGAAUUAAACUUAUGCAGGAAAAUGGUACUUUGAAGUAAAUAAACAGUAUAUGCACU
ensembl:lncRNA